rnacentral:lncRNA from 1 species
UGAAUUUCAGUUGAGCACGUAUCUCUCUCUCUCUCUCUCUCUCUCUCUCUCUCUCUCUCUCUCUCUCUCUCUCUCUCUCUCUCUCCCGCCCCCCCAUCUCGACCUGGAUUCCGGCUCUGUGCACUGGCCAACUCAUGCCUCAGCCUGUUUGCCUGACAUCGUUCUUCUGACGGCUGCUCUCUUUGGUUUUCUGAAGCCCACCUGAAGUGUGCUAUGCCAUCUCAACUCAAACCAAAUUGACUGGAACUGCUACAGGCACCCAGAAAAGCCUGAGUGGUGGGAUCUUCUCCAUGUUUGGAAGAUUGCAUUAUACUCCUUUAAUUACAGCCUAACCUUCUCCAAUUAGCACGAUGGUUGCAUUCAGCAAGCAGAGCGUAAAAUGCUUCAGGCUCAGUAAAGAAGGGAGCCAGAGCCUAACCCGGCAACACAGGGCAAAGGCCUGGAGGGGGAGGGGACACACCCAGGACGGGACGCCAGUCCGUCGCAAGGCACCCCCAGAAGGACUCGAACCCCAGACCCACCAGAGAGCAGGACCCGGUCAACCCACUGUGCCACUGUG